CGUAGGGUGCGAGCGUUAAUCGGAAUUACUGGGCGUAAAGCGUGCGCAGGCGGUUUUGUAAGACAGAUGUGAAAUCCCCGGGCUCAACCUGGGACCUGCAUUUGUGACUGCAAGGCUAGAGUACGGUAGAGGGGGAUGGAAUUCCGCGUGUAGCAGUGAAAUGCGUAGAUAUGCGGAGGAACACCGAUGGCGAAGGCAAUCCCCUGGGCCUGCACUGACGCUCAUGCGACGAAAGCGUGGGGAGCAAACAGGAUUAGAUACCCUGGUAGUCCACGCCCUAAACGAUGUCAACUGGUUGUUGGGUCUUUACUGACUCAGUAACGAAGCUAACGCGUGAAGUUGACCGCCGUGGGGAGUACGGCCGCAAGGUUG
rnacentral:rRNA from 1 species